rnacentral:tRNA from 5 species
GCGGGUGUAACUCAGCGGUAGAGUGUCACCUUGCCAAGGUGAAAGUCGCGAGUUCGAAUCUCGUCACCCGCUCCA